rnacentral:rRNA from 1 species
GACGAACGCUGGCGGCGUGCUUAACACAUCAGCAAUUGAUUGGUGGCGGACGGGUGAGUAACGCGUAAAGAACUUACCUCACAGUUAGGGACAACAUUUGGAAACGAAUGCUAAUACCUAAUACUGUGAGAGAGCUUUGCGUCCCAUUAGCUAGUUGGAGAGGUAACGGCUCACCAAGGCGAUGAUGGGUAGCCGGCCUGAGAGGGUGAUCGGCCACAAGGGGACUGAGACACGGCCCUUACUCCGACGGGAGGCAGCAGGGGGGAAUAUUGAACAAUGUACCAAAGUCUGAUCCAGCAAUUCUGGGUGCACGAUGAAUUUGUCGGAAUGUAAAGUGCUUUCAGUUGGGAAGCGGUACCAACAGAAGAAGUGACGGCUAAAUACGUGCCAGCAGCCGCGGUAAUUC